rnacentral:rRNA from 1 species
AGUGAACGCUGGCGGUAUGCCUAACACAUGCAAGUCGAACGGCAGCACAGUAAGAGCCUGCUCUUACGGGUGGCGAGUGGCGGACGGGUGAGGAAUACACCGGAAUCUACUUUUUCGUGGGGGCUAACGUAGGGAAACUUACGCUACUACCGCAUACGACAUACGGGUGAAAGCAGGGGAUCUUCGGACCUUGCGCGAUUGCAUGAGCCGAUGUCGGAUUAGCUAGUUGGCGGGGUAAAGGCCCACCAAGGCGACGAUCCGUAGCUGGUCUGAGAGGAUGAUCAGCCACACUGGAACUGAGACACGGUCCAGACUCCUACGGGAGGCAGCAGUGGGGAAUAUUGGACAAUGGGCGCAAGCCUGAUCCAGCCAUACCGCGUGGGUGAAGAAGGCCUUCGGGUUGUAAAGCCCUUUUGUUGGGAAAGAAAAGCAGCAGGUUAAUACCCCGCUGUUCUGACGGUACCCAAAGAAUAAGCACCGGCUAACUUCGUG